GUACGAAUGCUUGUAGCAACAAGAAUAAUCAAAUCGUUGAUAUGGCUGACGAUGACGACGAGGAUGAUGAAGAUGAUGGUGAUGAUAAUUCGGUAGAUGGCGUUGACGAAAUUGAAGAUGAUUGAUCAUUCUAUGGAUUGACCUUCUUCAUGACCUUAAAAUGUGGUGAUUCUGUUGUUAAAAGAACUUUAAUAUAGAUCUUGAAACCC
rnacentral:lncRNA from 1 species